ACUCCUACGGGAGGCAGCAGUGGGGAAUUUUGCGCAAUGGGGGAAACCCUGACGCAGCAACGCCGCGUGAGUGAUGAAGGCCCUUGGGUCGUAAAGCUCUGACAGAGGGAAAGAAGUGUAGAGUGGCUAAUAUCCACAUUACUUGACGGUACCCUCAAAGGAAGCACCGGCUAACUCCGUGCCAGCAGCCGCGGUAAUACGGGGGGUGCAAGCGUUGUUCGGAUUUAUUGGGCGUAAAGCGCGUGUAGGCGGCUUUAUAAGUCUGAUGUGAAAGCCCUGGGCUCAACCCGGGAAGUGCAUUGGAUACUGUAAGACUUGAAUACGGGAGAGGGCAGUGGAAUUCCUAGUGUAGGAGUGAAAUCCGUAGAUAUUAGGAGGAACACCGGUGGCGAAGGCGGCUGCCUGGACCGAUAUUGACGCUGAGACGCGAAAGCGUGGGUAGCAAACAGGAUUAGAUACCCUGGUAGUCCACGCCGUAAACGAUGAGAACUAGGUGUCGCGGGUA
rnacentral:rRNA from 1 species